ensembl:lncRNA
AUGUCGUCAUGGGGUUCUCCUUCGUGCCCUCAAUAUGUUCAGGGGGAGAUUUUUUUGCCUACCCCCUGUACCUCCAAAAAGCAAAUGGCCUGUAAGCCAGUUAAAUUUUUUGCAAUGGAUGUGGCAUGCAAGUACUGGCCUUACCUCCAGAGAGUGACAGAGAAAUGCCCUGAGCUUGAGGAUCUCCUCACCAUGAGGCCAUUUCUUUCUGUUUUUCAUGCCAAAGCUCAUGAUUUCAAAUGUGAGGUAAAAUGGAGUGGAGCAUAUCAGGAGGGGGCUGGUUCGACUCUUGGGGAAGAGGUGGAGCAGUGCAACGCCUUCCUCUCGAGGAUUGCUGUUACGACAAAGCACAUGUCAAAAAGCAGGACGCAUAGACAUGCUGACGAUCAUGGCCAUGCGCUGGAACCAACAAAAAGUUUGACAACUUGGCUUCUACCCUUGCCCGCCGAUAUCGGAAGGUAAAGACACCAGUUUUCCCUUAUGCAAAAAUGCAUAGCGAUAUUGUAAAAAUAAAGCAAAUAAAUGGCAUAUAUCACAAAAAAAUAUAGAGAACACUUGCCCAG